GAUGAACGCUGACAGAAUGCUUAACACAUGCAAGUCUUUGGCGAAGCUGUGCUUGCACAGCCUAGCCAAGGCGGACGGGUGAGUAACGCGUAAGGAACUUGCCCUGCAGUCAGGGAUAACAGACGGAAACGACUGAUAAGACCUGGUAAAGUCAGGCGGACUCAUGUCCAGCCUGAUGAAAAGAGAUGCUGCAGGAGAGCCUUGCGUCCUAUUAGCUUGUUGGUGGGGUAACGGCCCACCAAGGCGAUGAUAGGUAGCCGGCCUGAGAGGGUGGACGGCCACAAGGGGACUGAGAUACGGCCCUUACUCCUACGGGAGGCAGCAGUGGGGAAUAUUGGACAAUGGGGGCAACCCUGAUCCAGCAAUUCUGUGUGCACGAUGAAGGUUUUCGGAUUGUAAAGUGAUUUCAGCAGGGAAGAAAAAAAUGACGGUACCUGCAGAAGAAGCGACGGCUAAAUACGUG
rnacentral:rRNA from 1 species